AGGUUAUCAAGAGUGCGGUGAGGGUAACGGCCCUGCGACCCGCCAGCAACCAUGAGAGCGAAGUCUUUCAAAGGUGCUACAUCCGUCCCAUAUUAUGGGAAGAUAAUGC
rnacentral:ncRNA from 2 species